UAUAUAACCCGUAGCGCUACCAGCGCAGCAAGGAGAGCCUCCCCGACGACUGGUACGAGCAACAUCCGGGCAACGAGCGGCGGACGGGUUCCUGUUUCGGCAGCCAGAAGUGGCCUACUCCAGGGAACGGCGACUCAUGUCGACCAAGAGGAAUCCCGGCCCCCUAGACAGCGACGGUUGCACGAACCUACGUCGGCAGCACAAAGCCUGCUGCAGCAGAUGACUUCCCUCCGUAUGGUACUGUAGCAACAGCUCUGCAGCAUAUCCGCCCUCGGAUACCCCACUGCGCCUGAACUUGACGGUACGGACGCUUUGCGGCCACAGCGACCGCAAGUGGGAAGAGUUCCUCAUCGACUUGCAUCGACGCUUGCUAAACUGCUGUCGGAGUCGCCGACAAGGUCGUCCUACGAGAAGCACUGCCCGCAGAGCCUGGGUAACUGCCCUUCCGAAGACAUCCUGCACUUGCCACACCUUUGAAAAGGUGACGAUAGCAAGGUGUUAUCGUUGAUAGCCACUUUACACGUGCUGUCUCCCUUUCUACUGUGACGGAACCUGUAGCUUUCUUAAGUGAGAAAAAUAAAUUCAUCCUGACAUUCGUUCUUCUGCAGGAAACCGCAGUGUAAGCGAAUAAACAUGCUGCUGUUUGAUCA